CAGUAGCCGCGGGAAUACGUAGGUCCCGAGCGUUGUCCGGAUUUAUUGGGCGUAAAGCGAGCGCAGGCGGUUAGAUAAGUCUGAAGUUAAAGGCUGUGGCUUAACCAUAGUACGCUUUGGAAACUGUUUAACUUGAGUGCAAGAGGGGAGAGUGGAAUUCCAUGUGUAGCGGUGAAAUGCGUAGAUAUAUGGAGGAACACCAGUGGCGAAGGCGACUCUCUGGUCUGUAACUGACGCUGAGGAGCGAAAGCGUGGGGAGCGAACAGGAUUAGAUACCCCGGUAGUCCCUGUCUCUUAUACA
rnacentral:rRNA from 1 species